AUCGCUUCUCUGCCUUUUGGCUAAGAUCAAGUGUGUGAGAAUACAUUCAGCUUCCUUAUAUUGUUAGAUAAUUGCUCAAGUUCUAGAAUUGCAGUUCUAAAUUUUUUUUUUGCUGUGCAACUGAAUCUUCCUUCCCUCCAUUCUUCUGGAAGAAUUUAAUGCAAAGCAAAUAAAGAUGACAACUU